AUUCACCGCUGCCGGCAGGCCUAACACAUGCCAAUCGCGCGGAGCGGCGGACGGGUGCGUAAUGCCUAGGAAUCUGCCUGGUCGUGGGGGAUAACGUCCGGAAACGGGCGCUAAUACCGCAUACUAUCAGAUGAGCCUAGGUCGGAUUAGCUAGUUGGUGGGGUAAAGGCCUACCAAGGCGACGAUCCGUAACUGGUCUGAGAGGAGGAUCAGUCACACUGUAACUGAGACACGGUCCAGACUCCUACGGGAGGCAGCAGUGGGGAAUAUUGGACAAUGGGCGAAAGCCUGAUACAGCCAUGCAGCGUGUGUGAAGAAGGUCUUAGGAGUGUAAAGUACUGGCAGCGGGGAGGCGUUACCCGCAGAAGAAGCACCGGCUAACUCCGUGCCAGCAGCCGCGGUAAUAC
rnacentral:rRNA from 1 species